rnacentral:rRNA from 1 species
GCCAGACUCCUACGGGAGGCAGCAGUGGGGAAUAUUGGGCAAUGGGCGCAAGCCUGACCCAGCAACGCCGCGUGAAGGAAGAAGGCUUUCGGGUUGUAAACUCCUUUUCUCAGGGACGAAGCAAGUGACGGUACCUGAGGAAUAAGCCACGGCUAACUACGUGCCAGCAGCCGCGGUAAUACGUAGGGAGCGAGCGUUGUCCGGAUUUACUGGGUGUAAAGGGUGCGCAGGCGGCUCUGCAAGUCAGGCGUGAAAGCUAGGGGCUCAACCCCUAAACUGCGCUUGAAACUGUGGAGCUUGAGUGAAGUAGAGGCAGGCGGAAUUCCCGGUGUAGCGGUGAAAUGCGUAGAGAUCGGGAGGAACACCAGUGGCGAAGGCGGCCUGCUGGGCUUUAACUGACGCUCAGGCACGAAAGCAUGGGUAGCAAACAGGAUUAGAUACCCUGGUAC